GAAAACUGUUUGCAAAUUCGUCCAGGAAAAUGGAUAACAAAAAUAUGGAAAAAUAGUGGUUUUACAUUUUUUUAAAUUCAAAUCUCAUCGGUGUGCGUCUAUGACCAGAAGAAUUUUGUUGGAUGGAAUUAUUAGGCUUUUUAAUAGGAUACUUUAGGCGAAUCCUGAAGUCGGUGAAAAAAAUUUGUAAGAGUGGCAUAAGAUUCCACGCUGUCAUCAUACAUUCUACGAAACUUUCAAUUCAAAUAUCUUCUGCAAAAUAUCUGCUGCAUAGAACCUUUUCCACCCUCUGUCUGCCAGCCAGAAAUAAUUCGAAAUGAAAAGAAGGGUAUCACUUGUUUCAGUACUGCGCACUGAAAAUCUUUCGUAAAAGCGGGACUUGAACCUAAGACACUCAGUCAUUCUUAAACCGUUGCAUAUGUCACCAGGUUGCCACCACGCAGUCAAAUAAAGAAAGGAAUUUCGGUUCUGAGGCAAGACAAGGAUUCUUUCGAGAAACCCCUGAAGUUUUGAGGAAUGUUCAGAUGAUGAGAAAGACCAACGAUCCAGCCUCUCCCUUUUAAAAUCUCCGCAUCUCACCAGCAACAGGAUCAUUGACUCUCAAUGUCAGAUUUAACGUAGGGGAAGGUGUUGUACUUUAGGAUAAACUGCAUUCUUCAUUCAUUUAGUGUAUGAAAGGCCAAUUAAUAUAUAAUUAUUUGUCUAAUUAUCAUACAGCAGUUUAGGAAGAAUGAGAUUGUUAUCAUGU